AUUGAACGCUGGCGGCAGGCUUAACACAUGCAAGUCGAGCGAGCGGCGGACGGGUGAGUAAUGUAUGGGAAACUGCCUCAUGGAGGGGGAUAACUACUGGAAACGGUAGCUAAUACAGCAUACCAUCAGAUGUGCCCAGAUGGGCGUAGCUAGUAGGUGGGGUAAUGGCGCACCAACGCGACGAUCCCUAGCUGGUCUGAGAGGAUGACCAGACACACUGGAACUGAGACACUGUCCAGACUCCUACGGCAGGUAGGCAUGGAGAAUAUUGCACAAUGGGCGCAAUCCUGAUGCAGCCAUGCCACGUGUAUGAGGAAGGCCUUCGGGUUAUAAAGCACUUUCAGCUAGGAGGCGUUAUUCGCAGAAGAAGCACCGGCUAACUCCGUGCCAGCAGCCGCGGUAAUUC
rnacentral:rRNA from 1 species